UUCAAAUUAUCACUCCAGAAAAAAAUUCGGUGAGCAGUCCAGCCAAAUGGAAUGUUACAGUUUCAUCCGAUAUUCCAAACUCCCCAGUUAUACUCAUAAGUAGUCCUGCUACAUCAGGAAAUUGGCGAGUUAGGGGCAAUGAUGACACAAGUGAUCAUGAGGCUGACUCAAUCAACAACUCAUCAUAUCAGAAUGGAAACUUUCAGAGGGACACUCAUGAUUCUACUGACCCUACUGACAGCAAUACUUCCAAAAGAUGCAACAGCAACC